CUACGGGUGGCUGCAGUGGGGAAUAUUGCACAAUGGGGGAAACUCUGAUGCAGCAACGCCGCGUGGAGGAUGACACUUUUCGGAGCGUAAACUCCUUUUAUAUAGGAAGAAGAUGACGGUACUAUAUGAAUAAGCGCCGGCUAACUCCGUGCCAGCAGCCGCGGUAAUACGGAGGGCGCAAGCGUUACUCGGAAUCACUGGGCGUAAAGAGCGUGUAGGCGGAUUAAAAAGUCAGAAGUGAAAUCCUAUAGCUUAACUAUAGAGCUGCUUCUGAAACUCUUAAUCUAGAAUAUGGGAGAGGUAGAUGGAAUUUCUGGUGUAGGGGUAAAAUCCGUAGAGAUCAGAAGGAAUACCGAUUGCGAAGGCGAUCUACUAGAACAUUAUUGACGCUGAGACGCGAAAGCGUGGGGAGCAAACAGGAUUAGAUACCCCAGUAGUC
rnacentral:rRNA from 1 species